rnacentral:misc_RNA from 1 species
AACGCACAUUGCGCCCUUCGGUAUCCCGGGGGGCAUGCCUGUUCGAGCGUCAUUUCAACCACUCAAGCUUAGCUUGGUAUUGGGUAUCGUUGUGCUUUUUAACUCUUUGUUUUUCAGAGGGAGCAACGUACCUUAAAUGUAGACAGCGGCAAGUAUAAGUUCCGAGCGUAGCAGUAAAACAUUUCGCUUAGGUAUUUUAUACAUUGUCAGCUAAUUAGUUAGCCAUACUAUAUUUUUGACCUCGGAUCAGGCAGGGAUACCCGCUGAACUUAA